rfam:Dipodomys ordii contig_15954, whole genome shotgun sequence.
GGGAAGCUGGCUCAGUAGUAGAGUGCUUGCCUUGCAUGCAUGAGGCCCUGGGUUCGAUUCUUGGGCACCACA